rnacentral:rRNA from 1 species
GGGCUCACACAAGCGGUGGAUGAUGUGGCUUAAUUCGAGGCAACGCGAAGAACCUUAUCCUGGACUUGACAUGCUUGGAUUAACCCUAUGAAAGUAGGGCCACGCCUUCGGGUGGAACUUGCACAGGUGCUGCAUGGCUGUCGUCAGCUCGUGUCGUGAGACGUCGCGUUAAGUCGCUUAACGAGCGCAACCCUUGUCCUUAGUUGCCAGCACGUAAUGGUGGGGACUCUAAGGAGACCGCCGGUGUCAAACCGGAGGAAGGCGGGGACGACGUCAAGUCAUCAUGGCCCUUAUGGCCUGGGCUACAAACGUGCUACAAUGGUCCGUACAAUGGGUUCCGAAGCCGCGAGGUGUAGGCAAUCCCAUCAAAGCGGGCCCCAGUUCGAAUUGCAGGCUGAAAUUCGCCUGCAUGAAGCCGGAAUCGCUAGUAAUCGC